rnacentral:rRNA from 1 species
CCUACGGGAGGCAGCAGUGAGGAAUAUUGGUCAAUGGCCGGAAGGCUGAACCAGCCAUGCCGCGUGAAGGUCAGUGCCCUAUGGGCGUUAAACUUCUUUUGUGCGGGAGCAAUAAUGGUCACGUGUGGCCAGACGAGAGUACCGUACGAAUAAGCAUCGGCUAACUCCGUGCCAGCAGCCGCGGUAAUACGGGGGAUGCAAGCGUUAUCCGGAUUUAUUGGGUUUAAAGGGUGCGUAGGGUGUGAGGUAAGUCAGCGGUGAAAUGCCCCCGCUCAACGGGGUGAAGUGCCAUUGAUACUGGCGUGCUGGAGUGCGGAAGCCGUGGGAGGAAUGUGUGGUGUAGCGGUGAAAUGCAUAGAUAUCACACAGAACACCGAUUGCGAAGGCAUCUCACGAAUCCGCGAUUGACGCUGAUGCACGAAAGCGUGGGUAUCAAACAGGUUUAGAUACCCUUGUAGUC